AUUGAACGCUGGCGGCAUGCUUUACACAUGCAAGUCGAGCGGUAACAGGCCGCAAGGUGCUGACGAGUGGCGAACGGGUGAGUAAUGCAUCGGAACGUGCCCAGCCGUGGGGGAUAACUACUCGAAAGAGUAGCUAAUACCGCAUACGAUCUAUGGAUGAAAGCGGGGGACCGUAAGGCCUCGCGCGAUUGGAGCGGCCGAUGUCAGAUUAGGUAGUUGGUGGGGUAAAGGCUCACCAAGCCAACGAUCUGUAGCUGGUCUGAGAGGACGACCAGCCACACUGGGACUGAGACACGGCCCAGACUCCUACGGGAGGCAGCAGUGGGGAAUUUUGGACAAUGGGCGCAAGCCUGAUCCAGCAAUGCCGCGUGCAGGAAGAAGGCCUUCGGGUUGUAAACUGCUUUUGUACGGAACGAAACGGCUCUGGUUAAUACCCGGGGCUAAUGACGGUACCGUAAGAAUAAGCACCGGCUAACUACGU
rnacentral:rRNA from 1 species